AUUGAACGCUGGCGGAAUGCUUUACACAUGCAAGUCGAACGGCAGCACGGACUUCGGUCUGGUGGCGAGUGGCGAACGGGUGAGUAAUGUAUCGGAACGUGCCCAGUCGUGGGGGAUAACGUAGUGAAAAUUACGCUAAUACCGCAUACGAUCUAUGGAUGAAAGCGGGGGAUCGCAAGACCUCGCGCGAUUGGAGCGGCCGAUAUCAGAUUAGGUAGUUGGUGGGGUAAAGGCCCACCCAGCCAACGAUCUGUAGCUGGUCUGAGAGGAAGACCAGCCACACUGGAACUGAGACACGGUCCAGACUCCUACGGGAGGCAACAGUGGGGAAUUUUGGACAAUGGGUGAAAGCCUGGUCCAGCCAUGCCGCGUGCAGGAUGAAGGCCAUCGGGUUGUAAACUGCUUCUGUACAGAACGAAAAGGUUGCUACUAAUACUAGGAGCUCAUGACGGUACUGUAAGAAUAAGCACCGGCUAACUACGUGCCAGCCGCCGCAGUAA
rnacentral:rRNA from 1 species